GGGAGGGAGAGAGGAGGAAGGGGUGAGAGGGAGAAACCUGCCGCGGCUCUCCGCCUCUUUGUCUGCUCUGGGACUUGGAACAAAAGGGGAAACUCUGAUGAACUCCUUCUCCAGCUCCCUGGACGCCCGAGUAUCUCUUUCUCGCAACUUUGUCAACGCGACUUUCUCCGCUGUCAGGCUGCGCAAAAGUAUCCUAGCGCCUCGCAGGCUGCAACAAUGGAAACAAUGUCCCUUCAAAGUGCGACGAAGUGGAGGGAGAAGGUGUCAUACCAGCGACUCCAAGAGUCAUGUCACCCACUUAGCAGGAGUACUUCUACUGAAAUGCCUUCGAAUUUCUCUUACUGGAUAUAUACCUACCAGCCGCUAGCAUGAAGAUGCCAGGACCGCUGCAAGUUAGCACUGGACAAAGUAGCAUCAACUUCUUCAUUUAGAGUUUCUUCAGUUAAAUUGCUGGGAUUUUCGACAAGGCUUUCCUUAUGUGGAUUAUUGGAGUGUGAUGCCCGAGAAUUCUCUACUUGUAGAAGCACGCCCACGGGACUGCAGAAGCCUUCACACCCACCCAGCACGCUCAGAUGGGAAUGAGUGAUGGCCAUCCAGUGACCAGCUGGAUCUGACUGCCUUACAAGACGCAUGUGUAUGAUUAAGAGAGAGACAUUCGUGACUCCCAGAUGUACCUCCUUCCUGUCCCACAGUGUUCCUGAAGGGAGUGAGUUAUGGGGUAACUUAUAACACAGCAGGCUCUUCCUCAAGAUAGCUCUUGUCAAAACAGGAAGACGAAACUCGGGUUUCCAUGAGGAGACCACAGCUUGGGAUCCUGUCUGGAUGUACAAGCAGAAGCAUCUUCAUACUUUUCCAUUUCUAACCAUCAUGCCUCACCCCACCCUCCCAAGGCGACAUCUGCAGAGAGGUGGAACCAUCUAGGGAGGCCUGCCACUGUUUGCUGAGCUCCGGGUGAGGAUGAAGACACUUUGACAUGGCCAGCUUCAGACUCGGGAUCUGUCGGUGUUAGCAGCCGAAGGAGAAUGAGGAGGAAGAGGAGGAGAAAGAGGAGGAGGAAGUAAGACAGAGGGGGACAAGAGGACCAAGAGGGCACAUGGCUGAGGAGGAGGAGAACAACAACAACAACAACAACAACAACAACAACAAGAAGCUUGGUGGACUCUGGAAUUGGCUAAAGAGAUGAUGACAAACCUUCUCCAGCCAGUGGCCAUGGAUUAGACUUUUUCAGGAUGUGUUCCUGAGUCUCGUGAGUAGCACAUGGCAGUUGUUGUCACCUUGGGCUGAGCCGUGAAGAUUCUCACCCUCCCUUGUUGGGGAUGAACUCCGGGAUUCUAAGGAGAGGUCAGCAGGUGUUUCACAGACUGUUCCUGUUGGAGGAUUUGUCUGAUACUCUUCUCCUGAUUAGUCUGGGCUCUACAUUUCCCCAAGGGUGAAACUUGGAAGCCCUCUCCAGGAUGCAGCAGGUAGCUGAGGAGAAAACGAAGACUGACCAGCCCAGAGCUCAGAGCUUCCUCCCAUGCUCAGGAUUUACCACCAAUGCCAUUACAUCGGCCUCUUCUUGUAUGCCUCUGGAAACCACAUGUGUCCUCUGUUUGUAAUGGUUUGGCUAUGGUUGCUGGCCCCUCUUGGACAUUGUUUUCAGAACUUAAAGAAACAUUGCUUUAAAGAUUUAUUAGAACAUAUUUAAAAUAAAACCAUCUUCUCAUUUA
rnacentral:lncRNA from 1 species